rnacentral:rRNA from 1 species
UACGUAGGGGGCAAGCGUUGUCCGGAAUCAUUGGGCGUAAAGCGCGUGUAGGCGGCCCGAUAAGUCCGCUGUGAAAGUCCAGGGCUCAACCCUGGGAUGCCGGUGGAUACUGUCGGGCUCGAGUCCGGAAGAGGCGAGUGGAAUUCCUGGUGUAGCGGUGAAAUGCGCAGAUAUCAAGAGGAACACCUGCGGCGAAGGCGGGUUGCUGGGCCGACACUGACGCUGAUGCGCGAAAGCUAGGGGAGCGAACGGG